rnacentral:lncRNA from 1 species
UGUCUGUGUUUUACAACUAUAUCUGUUAAGGUCAGAGCUAUCAAAUCUGGUUAGUCCCAGCCUGAUUUUCAGAGCACGCAAGUCUCCUGCAACCCUCCACUUCAUUUGAAUGGGCCUCUGGGCGCACACAGCACUACUGUGAAGGAGGCCAGCUAUGUAGGUCCCAAAAUACGGAUUGGUACCUAAUUUAGUGUAUCCAGGGGUGAAAAUGUUGGCUUAGUAUUCUCUCUCCCUGGGACUCAUACUCCGUGUAUUGCUUCUUGUAUUUGAGAUGGGAGCUGUCAUUCACUGUAAGCCAAGUAGGUCAGUGCCUGUAGGUAUGGCUGUAUUUUAUACAUCCACCCCCAUGGGUGCGUGACCACCCUCUGUUGAAUCUUACUCUAGGUACUUUGUUGAAACAUUUUAGUGGGGUUCUGCUCAGGUUACCCUGGUCCUGAGGGCUGCUUGAGCCCUGGAUGAGCAAAGUGAGCAAAGCAAGCUCCUCCUCUUGAUCAAGUUCCUGUAAAGGAGAUGGAGGGAGUUGCCCCUUCUUGAAGACUUGAGCCAGAAGAGGCACAGUGGCAAAAGCAGCCAGAAGACAAACUCUCUACCUUACUUUAUUUGAAAGAGGAAAGCCAGUGAGGACCUGUGAACAAUCCAGCAGCUUCUGAAAAAUCUUCAUGCUAAAGGAUAAUCCAGAAUUCCCUGAAGAAGAACAUAGUGAAUGCUCCAGAAAUGCAGAUGACAGGUGGUGGCUGGACAGGGGCUGAAGAAAAGUUUCACUCUCCAUGACGUUUGAUUAGGCAAGGCUAGGUAAGUAUCAGGAAGUUAGCAAAUGUUUUUUAGUUACAAUAUUUUCCUUAGCAGGUAAUAGAAGAGUUAGGGAGACUUUGUUGCCUUUGGGUGAAUUAGGUUAUGUGGAGGAAGCAACUGUUUUGCUCCAAUAGUAAAAUCCGUGAGUUUUUACAGUGGUGGGGGGCUCAUGAU